rnacentral:rRNA from 1 species
AUGUUAGAUCAAAACCUGAGUGUUCUUAGUUGGAAUGUCAGAGGCUUAAACUGUCCUGAUCGUCGCGCUGCCAUCUGCGAGACCGUCAAUGCCACUCCCUGUCAUAUCAUUUGUUUUCAAGAAACCAAGCUCGAGCAGGUCGACCCUUUCACUGCUUCCCACCUGGGAGGGCACAGAUUGAAGAACUUUGCUCAACGUCCGGCAUUGGGCACCCGCGGUGGCAUUCUACUUCUCUGGGAUGAGAACUUUGUCUCUGUCCAGAAUGUGUCCUUCGAUGCAUUUUUCCUCUCUGCCAAAGUCACCAUUGCUUCAUCAGGCACUUUAUUCAAGCUAACA